rnacentral:rRNA from 1 species
CCCUUAGAUGUUCUGGGCCGCACGCGUGUUACACUGAUGCGUUCAUCAAGCACCACACCUUGGCUCGAGAGGCCUGGGUAAUCUUGAAAUCGCAUCGUGCUGGGGAUAGAUUAUUGUAAUUUUUAAUCUUCAACGAGGAAUGUCUAGUAAGCGCAAGUCAUCAGCUUGCGUUGAUUACGUCCCUGCCCUUUGUACACACCGCCCGUCGCUCCUACCGAUUGAAUGGUCCGGUGAAGCGUUCGGACCGUGGCCUUUGGACGGUUCGCCGUCUGUUGGCUGCGGGAAGUUCGUUAAACCUUAUCAUUUAGAGGAAGGAGAANUCGUAACA